ACACAGAACGAAAAAGGUGACGCGCCAUCGGCUUUCAUUUGUCUUUAUUUCAUCGACUGCUGCAGAACAGGCCUGAAACACCACCACGAUGAAGUUCAGUAUGGCCACAUGUCUCCUGCUUUUGCCUAUAAUGUGCAGCAUUUUUAUGGAGGUUGAAAUGCAACCUAAGCCCACCAACAGCACCAGCACCAACAGCACCAGCACCAACAGCACUUCGAGCGGCUCUGGAUCAAGCUCUGGAUCAAGCUCUGGCUCAAGCUCUGGCUCAAGCUCUGGCUCAAGCUCUGGCUCAAGCUCUGGAUCAAGCUCCACUGGAUCCCAAGAAAAUUCAUCUAAUAGUGGGGCUCUGUCCACCAGCUUCCUUUCCCCACAUGGAAACAUGCUGCUCCUUUUCACUGUGGCAGUCAUGCUUUCCAUGGCACUGUUGAUGAAGUAGCAGAUACAAUCCAGCUAUGCAGUUAAGGAAUGCUCCAAACCCUCAGAUCAUCUAAUACGAAUCUAAUAACCGAGUAGAUGGAAUAUAUACACAUAUACACACGCGCACAAUUUUUCUGUAACGGUAAUUAGUUAUAUUAUUGAUAUACUACUUGUACUUCUAUGAUCUUUUCACUUCCAAUUUCUCAAAAAAAAAAAAAUGAGUGAUGUAACUGUUGAACUUGUCAACACUGUUCUUUCAAAACAAGACCAAUGAUCCUUCUUUUCUACUCAAGGGACAUAAGGGCUAUAAAGAACCAAAGGAACUGUCUAUGGCACACUACUAGUUAACUGGAAAAGCAUUAAUAGGUCUACAGAACAUCUAAAAGACGACUACCAUGAUGUAAACUGAUGUAGAUGGUUGUAAAGGUGAUGUAGAUUAAAUACUUUCUGUACACUUA